GAUGAACGCUGGCGGCGUGCCUAAUACAUGCAAGUCGAGCGAACAGACGAGGAGCUUGCUCCUCUGACGUUAGCGGCGGACGGGUGAGUAACACGUGGAUAACCUACCUAUAAGACUGGGAUAACUUCGGGAAACCGGAGCUAAUACCGGAUAAUAUAUUGAACCGCAUGGUUCAAUAGUGAAAGACGGUUUUGCUGUCACUUAUAGAUGGAUCCGCGCCGCAUUAGCUAGUUGGUAAGGUAACGGCUUACCAAGGCGACGAUGCGUAGCCGACCUGAGAGGUGAUCGGCCACACUGGAACUGAGACACGGUCCAGACUCCUACGGGAGGCAGCAGUAGGGAAUCUUCCGCAAUGGGCGAAAGCCUGACGGAGCAACGCCGCGUGAGUGAUGAAGGUCUUCGGAUCGUAAAACUCUGUUAUUAGGGAAGAACAAAUGUGUAAGUAACUAUGCACGUCUUGACGGUACCUAAUCAGAAAGCCACGGCUAACUACGUG
rnacentral:rRNA from 1 species